ACUGCUCAGUAACACGUAGCUAAUCUGCCCUUAGGUGAAGGAUAACCACGGGAAACUGUGGAUAACACUUCAUAGAAGAUUUGGCCUGGAAGGGUAUUUCUUUGAAAACUUCGGUGCCUAAGGAUGAGGCUGCGCCUGAUUAGCUUGUUGGUGGGGUAACUGCCUACCAAGGCAAUGAUCAGUACGGGCUCUUAGCGGAGUUGCCCGGAGACGGAAUCUGAGACACUAUUCCGAGCUCUACGGAGUGCAGCAGUCGCGAAUCAUUUACAAUGCACGCAAGUGUGAUAAUGCGAACCAAAGUGCUUUCCUUAUAGGAAAGCUUUUCCUUACUGUAAAAAUGUAGGGGAAUAAGGACUGGGAAAGACCGGUGCCAGCCGCCGCGGUAAUACCGGCAGUCCAAGUAGCAUCCAGUUUUAUUGGGUCUAAAACAUCCGUAGCUUGUUAUUUAAGUCUCUUGUGAAAUCCUAUGUCUCAAGCAUAGGGCUUGCAGGAGAUACUGAAUAGCUAGAGAUCGGUAGGCGUAAGGAGUACGCCGGAGGUAGUGGUUAAAUACGUUAAUCUUCGGUGGACUAACAAUUUAGCGAAGGCACCUUACGAGGACGAAUCUGACAGUGAGGGAUGAAGGCCAGGGGCGCAAAACGGAUUAGAUACCCGUGUAGUCCUGGCAGUAAACACUGCUCACUAAACAUCGGGCCCUCUUCGGGAGGAUUCGGUGCUGAAGCGAAGGCGAAGAGUGAGCUACCUGGGAAGUAUAGUCGCAAGAUCGAAACUUAAAGGAAUUGGCGGGGGAGCAC
rnacentral:rRNA from 1 species